rnacentral:rRNA from 1 species
UACGGAGGGUGCAAGCGUUAUCCGGAUUCACUGGGUUUAAAGGGUGCGUAGGUGGGUUUGUAAGUCAGUGGUGAAAUCUCCAAGCUUAACUUGGAAACUGCCGUUGAUACUAUAAAUCUUGAAUGUUGUGGAGGUGAGCGGAAUAUGUCAUGUAGCGGUGAAAUGCUUAGAUAUCGUCAAGAACACCGAUAGCGAAGGCAGCUUACUAGACUGUAACUGACGCUGAUGCACGGAAGUGUGGGGAUCAAACAGG